rnacentral:misc_RNA from 1 species
AAGUCGUAACAAGGUUUCCGUAGGUGAACCUGCGGAAGGAUCAUUAUCAAAACGUAUCCACGUAUAAACCAAUAACUAAUGUGAAUUGUAAUGUUAAGCCUUUGAUAGUCAAUUGAUUGCUUUCGACAUAUCUGUCUAACUUAAAUGAUUAAGGACAGGUCGGAGGACUUGUGUGAGUGUUUUACACUUGCACUAGCAUUGAUUAUUGAAGUGUAUAUUAAUCAUUUAUAUUAACCAAUUGAACCGAAAUAACAUAUCUUUUAAUUAAGUAAGUUAUUCAUUUCUUUAUUGUGAACUGAAUUGUUUCUUACCCUUUUCUGUGUAACAACAGAAGAGAGAAGAAAUUAUAUUUACGAAACAUAAAUAUGAACAACUCUUAGCAACGGAUAUCUUGGUUCUC